UACAGAGGUCUCAAGCGUUGUUCGGAUUCAUUGGGCGUAAAGGGUGCGCAGGUGGCGAGGCAAGUCGGAUGUGAAAUCCCGGGGCUCAACCCCGGAACUGCAUUCGAUACUGCCUUGCUAGAGUGCUGGAGAGGAGAUUGGAAUUUACGGUGUAGCAGUGAAAUGCGUAGAUAUCGAGAGGAACACCAGAGGUGAAGACGGGUUGCUGGGCCGACACUGACGCUGACAGCGCGAAAGCCAGGGGAGCAAACGGG
rnacentral:rRNA from 1 species